rnacentral:rRNA from 1 species
UAAGACGAACCGUGCGAACGUUGUUCGGAAUCACUGGGCAUAAAGGGCGCGUAGGCGGCUUUUCAAGUCAGGGGUGAAAUCCGGCAGCUCAACUGUCGAAGUGCCCUUGAUACUGAUGAGCUCGAGGGAGGUAGGGGUGUGUGGAACUUCCGGUGGAGCGGUGAAAUGCGUUGAUAUCGGAAGGAACGCCGGUGGCGAAAGCGACGCACUGGACCUCUUCUGACGCUGAGGCGCGAAAGCCAGGGGAGCAAACGGGAUUAGAUACCCCGGUAGUCCUGGCCCUAAACGAUGGGUACUAGAUAGUGGACUUACAUGGGUUCACUGUCGAAGCUAAUGUGUUAAGUACCCCGCCUGGGGAGUAUGGUCGCAAGGCUG